GCGGCAAGCUGGCCUGUGUGCCUUCGUGAUGUUUACAGCAGGUCUGGGGGCCAGUGAAUUGAUGGUGUGAGCGUGGGUUUAUUUAUCAUUGCUGAGGGGUCAUGCAGUGCAUCUGAUUAAUGCCCCGUCCACACGAUCAAUCCCCCUCUAAAGCACACGCACCGCAGGCUACUGUUGGACAUUCACUGCCUUAUUUAUGUUAGCAUCUCUGGACAAGGCUUACCACACUUUGGCUCACCUGAAGCUGGUCCAGCAGUCAGAGACACUAUUACACCUCUACAGCAGAGACACAAACACAACACUAUUACACCUCUACAGCAGAGACACAAACAACAUUACACCUCUACAGCAGAGACACAAACACAAACACAACACUAUCACACCUCUACAGCAGAGACACAAACACAACACUACUACACCUCUACAGCAGAGACACAAACACAACCCUAAUUCACCUCUACAGCAGAGACACAAACACAACACUAUUACACCUCUACAGCAGAGACACAAACACAACACUAUUACACCUCUAAAGCAGAGACACAAACAACACUAUUACACCUCUACAGCAGAGACACAAACACAACACUACUUCACCUCUACAGCAGAGACACAAACACAAACACAACACUAUUACACCUCUACAGCAGAGACACAAACACAACACUACUACACCUCUACAGCAGUCAGAGACACAAACACAACACUAUUACACCUCUACAGCAGAGACACAAACACAACACUACUUCACCUCUACAGCAGAGAGACAAACAACACUAUUACACCUCUACAGCAGAGACACAAACACAACACUAUUACACCUCUACAGCAGAGACACAAACACAACACUAUUACACCUCUACAGCAGAGACACAAACACAACCCUAAUUCACCUCUACAGCAGAGACACAAACACAACACUACUUCACCUCUACAGCAGAGACACAAACAACACUAUUACACCUCUACAGCAGAGACACAAACACAAACACAACACUAUUGCACCUCUACAGCAGUCAGAGACACAAACACAACACUAUUACACCUCUACAGCAGUCAGAAACACAAAUACAACACUACUUACAGGUUUAAGAGCAUAGUGUGGUG
rnacentral:lncRNA from 1 species